UAGAAUGGUCUUCCUCACUCUAAGAUUAUAGAAAUACUUUGUAUUCAUUUUUUUUUCCUAUUGCAUCUUUGACUCAUUGGAAUUUAUUUUGAUGAGAAGUAAAACAGAGAUCCAGUUUUAUUUUUUUCAAAGGGCUAGUUGACUAGUUCACAAUCCGCAUGUAAUACCCCAGCUAUUCUGCUUGGAAUGUCCUUUUUAUAAUAUAGAUAAUGGGUCAGUAGUUGGGUUUAUUUCUAGACUGCCCAUUGGAUCUAUUAAUCUGUGCAUUUAUUCCUGUCCCUCUACAAUGUCUCCUAGUUUUUAUUAUUGCGGCUUUAUGUUGCAUUUUAGUGUCUGGUAGAGAUUGUUUUCUGUUGCUGCUCUUCUUUUCUCCUUCUAGAAGUGUCCUGGCUAAUCCCAAAUAAAUGCUUAUUCUUCCAGAUAAACCUUGGUAUCCUUUUUGUCAUGCUAAAACAGGAAGUUCUAUUCGGAUUGUGCUGGGAAGGACUGACUUAUUCAACCUGUCAAUAUCUGCUCUGUGCCAGCCAAGUUUUUUCUCCAUUAUGCGAUUAUUUUUCUUUAAGUCUUUCAGCAGAUUUUUAUAGUUUUCUCCAUAUAGAUUUUGGACGUUGCCUGUAUAAUUUAUUCUUAAGCAUGUCGUGUUUUUGUUUGUUUUUCUAUUGUGAAUGGAAUCUUUGAAUUACGCCCCGAUUUCUCCUCCUACUCAUUCUCCACAUCAAUCUGUUGACAAGUACUGGCAGUCCUUUCUGCAUCUGAAAUAUACAUCAAACCUGUGCAUGUUUCCCUGUAUCCAUCCUACCGCCAUCUCUCUCUCACCUGGGCCACAGCUUUCCACCCACACUUUCUACGAUCUAUUCUCUGUAUAUCUGUCGGGGCUGGCUUUCUCAGCAGUCCACAAAAUCAUACCAACACCCCUACCUUUCGGGCCUUCGGUGGCAUAUUGAACGUGAAAAAAGACCCAGCAGGCGUACUGUGGGAUCCUGCCCCGGUCCCUCUCGCCAUCCUGGCUCCUUCCCAUCUCUCUAACACGCCAAGCUCCUUUUCUGCAGCUCUUUCCCUGUUUCUUUUGUGCUGCCUUCUCUGCCUUCCUCUGGCUCUUUGCAUGAGUAGAUACCUCUCAUCCAUCACAUCUCAGCUCCUAUUCCACCUUCUAGGAGAGGCCUUCCUGGGCCACUCUAGACAACGCAGGACUUUCCCCAAUCACCUGUCCCUGACCUCUCUAAUUCCAACAUCCCAUCCCCUCAUUCUCCUGAAUUUCUUCAUAGCAUUUGCCGUUGCCUGAAAAGUCUUGUGUAUCUACUUGUAUAUUUGCUUUUAGGGCAUUAUUUCCUUUAAUUACAAAGCAAGUGAUUGGAGAAAAUCUACUCACCUAUUUUAGCUGUGUCGCUGGGGCACAAAGGAGCCUCUCAAGAUAAAGAGCAUUGAGCAAAUACGUGGAUGUUGCCUCUGCUUUCUUCUCUUGUCUUAUAUUUGCAGAAUAAGAAGCUAUUACUAUUAUUUUUUGAAGUAACUAUUCCUUUUGCUUUUGACUAAGGCUUGCUUUAAUCCUCAUGGGAUUUUCCAUGUAUCCUAUUACAUCAUCUGCAAGUAAUAAAAAUGUUGCCUCCUUCUUUCCACCACUUAUAUUUCUCAUUUUGUUAUUUUAAUUACUUUGACUAGUACUUCUAGAACAAUUUUAAAUAAUAUUGGUGAUAACAGGGCCCCUUGAGUUGGUAUUGACUUUAGUCACUCACUUCUCUUGUAGGGUUUUACUCUAAAGCAUGAUACUAUGAUACGGAUACUACAAUAAAUGUGUGAUUGUUUGUGCGUGCGUGUGUGUGUGUGAUUUUAUCAUGUUAAGAAUGCAUGCAUCUAGACCUAUUAUAGAAAGGUUUCUAAAAGUCAAGAUUAAAUAUUGUCUUCAUUAAGACACAUUUCAGUACUUGUUCAGGUUAACAAAUUAUUGGUGAUUAAUUUAUUAAAGUGGUGAAUUGCAUGAAUAAAUUUAUUAAUAUUAAAUUAUUAUUACCUUCCUAGAUGAAGUCCGUUUGGUGUUUUUAAAGAGUACCUGGCCAUUUCUAUUUACUAAUAUUUUAUUCAGGAUCUUUGCAGCAACAUGAGUGAGUACCCACAGACACGGAUAGUUCACUUUCCUGGGCUGCCAUUGAUGAAUAUGCUUUGGGAUGAGGGCAUCUCUAGAAGCAAAGUUAAAAAAGAAAAGGAAAAAGAAACCGAGAUUCAGAACUUAUAUCUUCACACAGGUUUAUAACAUGGUAAAACAGUGAUAAUUUUGUAGAAAUAGCUCUGGAUGAGAAGAUGAGAGGGUAAAAUCAUUCUUUAAGAGUAAGAAGUCAAGAACUGUAGAAGAAAGACGAGUGAAUUUUCAAGAGCACAUGACUCCCUUGUCCAAGGAGAAAGGAGCAGCUGAGGAAUCUCCCACUGCUAAUCUAUCCUCACUCAUCAAGGAGUCCACUGUGACCUCAUGAUCCUCUAUGAUCUAAUGCUGAUACAUAAGCAGAGUAAAAGAAGCUAGGAUCAACUCUAAUCGAGCAAAUGUGAGCAAGAUUUCCCUGUCUCGCAGCUGGGUGACCACUCAGGUUUAUUUAAAUCCAGUUUAAAUAUGGUUUCCUGAAUGAUUUUCCAAUGGUCUACGGCAAAGAAUACGGAGUCUCACUCUGUUGCCCAGGCUGGAGUGCAGUGGCAUGAUAUCAGCUCACUUCAUUCUCCACCUCCUGGAUUCAAGUGAUUCUCCUGCCUCAGCUUCCCAAGUAUGUGGGACUAGAGGCGAGCACCACCAUGCCUGGCUAAUUUGUACUUUUAAUAGAGACAGGGUUUCUCCAUGUUGGCCAGGCUGAUCUUGAACUCCUGAUCUCCAGUGAUCCACCCAUCUCGGCCUCCCAAGUGCUGGGAUCACCAGUGUGAGCCACUGCUCCUGUCUGAAGAUAAGUCUCUUAACGUCUUACAGCAAUAAGGGAUGAAAGGAGGAAUUGAACCUGGGCAGCAGAAUCUCUGAUCCUGAAUUUCUAACCACAACACAGACCAACCACCAUUCAUUGCAAAGAUGUUAAAUUCACCUUGGAAAAUGGAGAAAAGAAGAAAAAUGACACUCAGAGAUUAUUCACCCAAAUAAAAUUCAUGUUCGCCUUUA